AUUAGCAUUUAGAUGCAUUUAACCAUAGACUGGGUAAGAUCACCAAGGCAGUGAGGGUGGAUGGAGGAGACAAACCUGAGAGCAUUCCAGGAGCCCUUGUGACCGGUGCAGUAACCCCUCAAUUAGACCUGUUGCUUCAUCUCUGGUUUGUUCAUGGAGUCCGGAUGAGCACCUAAAAUCCUGUGUCAUUUUGAUUCAGGAGCAGUUCCAGAAAAAUCCCGACAGUUACAAUGGUGCUGUCCGAGAGAACUACACCUGGUCACAGGACUAUACUGACCUGGAGGUCAGGGUGCCAGUACCCAAGCACGUGGUGAAGGGAAAGCAGGUCUCAGUGGCCCUUAGCAGCAGCUCCAUUCGUGUGGCCAUGCUGGAGGAAAAUGGGGAGCGCGUCCUCAUGGAAGGGAAGCUCACCCACAAGAUCAACACCGAGAGUUCUCUCUGGAGUCUCGAGCCCGGGAAGUGCGUUUUGGUGAACCUGAGCAAGGUGGGCGAGUAUUGGUGGAACGCCAUCCUGGAGGGAGAAGAGCCCAUCGACAUUGACAAGAUCAACAAGGAGCGCUCCAUGGCCAC
rnacentral:sRNA from 1 species